ACAAACUCACACACAACUGGGAGAAUGGUAUAGAACAUUACGCACGCACGCACACACACACACUAGACACAUACAGUGUGAGUACAAAACCUGGCACACGGAGAAGGUUCAUCUUCACGUCUCUGUGUGGGACCAGAGAGGAACCUGAUUGAGAAAAAACACAGACUGAGAGAAGUGGUGGAGUGGUGGAAAAGUGUCAGACUGUCAGGGGAGGUUUAAUGUUAGACUGGAGUGUCAGGGUUAGUGUUAGACUGGAGUGUCAGGGUUAAUGUUAGACUGGAGUGUCAGGGUUAAUGUUAGACUGCAGUGUCAGGGUUAAUGUUAGACUGGAGUGUCAGGGUUAAUGUUAGACUGGAGUGUCAGGGGAGGUUUAAUGUUAGACUGGAGUGUCAGGGUUAGUGUUAGACUGGAGUGUCAGGGUUAAUGUUAGACUGGAGUGUCAGGGUUAAUGUUAGACUGGAGUGUCAGGGUUAAUGUUAGACUGGAGUGUCAGGGUUAAUGUUAUACUGGAGUGUCAGGGUUAAUGUUAGACUGGAGUGUCAGGGUUAAUGUUAGACUGGAGUGUCAGGGUUAAUGUUAGACUGCAGUGUCAGGGUUAGUGUUAGACUGGAGUGUCAGGGGAGGUUUAAUGUUAGACUGGAGUGUCAGGGUUAAUGUUAGACUGCAGUGUCAGGGUUAGUGUUAGACUGGAGUGUCAGGGGAGGUUUAAUGUUAGACUGGAGUGUCAGAGGAGGGUUAUUGUUAGGCUGGAGUGUCAGGGUUAGUGUUAGACUGGAGUGUCAGAGGGGGGUUAUUGUUAGACUGGAGUGUCAGGGUUAAUGUUAGACUGGAGUGUCAGGGUUCAUGUUAGACUGGAGUGUCAGAGGAGGGUUAUUGUUAGGCUGGAGGGUCAGGGUUAGCGUUAGACUGGAGUGUCAGACUGAGAGAAGUGGUGGAGUGGUGAAAAAGUGUCAGACUGUCAGGGGAGGUUUAAUGUUAUACUGGAGUGUCAGCGGAGGUUUAAUGUUAGUCUGGAGUGUCAGGGGAGGUUUAAUGUUAUACUGGAGUGUCAGGGGAGGUUUAAUGUUAGUCUGGAGUGUCAGGGGAGGUUUAAUGUUAUACUGGAGUGUCAGGGGAGGUUUAAUGUUAGUCUGGAGUGUCAGGGGAGGUUUAAUGUUAGACUGCAGUGUCAGGGGAGGUUUAAUGUUAGACUGCAGUGUCAGGGGAGGUUUAAUGUUAGACUGGAGUGUCAGCGUUUAGUGUCAGGGUUAGUGUUAGACUGGAGUAUCAGGGGAGUGUUAGACUGGAGUGUCAGGAGAGUGUUAGACUGAAGUGUCAGGGGAAGGGUUAGUGUUAGACUGGAGUGUCAGGGGAGGGUUAGUGUUAGACUGGAGUGUCAGGGGAGGGUUAGUGUUAGACUGGAAUGUCAGGGGAGGGUUAGUGUUAGACUGGAGUGUCAGGGGAGGGUUUAUGUUAGACUGGAGUGUCAGGGGAGGGUUAGUGUUAGA